rnacentral:rRNA from 1 species
UACAGAGGGUGCGAGCGUUGUUCGGAUUCAUUGGGCGUAAAGGGUGCGUAGGCGGCGCGGUAAGUCGGGUGUGAAAUCUUGGAGCUUAACUCCGAAACUGCAUUCGAUACUGCCGUGCUUGAGGACUGGAGAGGAGACUGGAAUUUACGGUGUAGCGGUGAAAUGCGUAGAUAUCGUAAGGAAGACCAGUGGCGAAGGCGGGUCUCUGGACAGUUCCUGACGCUGAGGCGCGAAGGCCAGGGGAGCAAACGGG